rnacentral:rRNA from 1 species
GAUGAACGCUAGCGGCAGGCUUAAUACAUGCAAGUCGUGGGGCAGCAUGAAAGUAGCAAUACUUUUGAUGGCGACCGGCAAACGGGCGCGGAACACGUACACAACCUUCCUAUAAGUGGGGAAUAGCCCAGAGAAAUUUGGAUUAAUACCCCGUAACAUAACGAUGUGGCAUCACAUUGUUAUUAUAGCUUCGGCGCUUAUUGAUGGGUGUGCGGCUGAUUAGAUAGUUGGCGGGGUAACGGCCCACCAAGUCUACGAUCAGUAGCUGAUGUGAGAGCAUGAUCAGCCACACGGGCACUGAGACACGGGCCCGACUCCUACGGGAGGCAGCAGUAAGGAAUAUUGGUCAAUGGACGCAAGUCUGAACCAGCCAUGCCGCGUGAAGGAUUAAGGUCCUCUGGAUUGUAAACUUCUUUUAUCUGGGACGAAAAAAGGCUAUUCUUAGUCACUUGACGGUACCAGAUGAAUAAGCACCGGCUAACUCCGUGCCAGCCGCCGCGGUAAGAC